CACGAAGUUCAAUGAGCUAGCUAUAAUAUGUGUAUUUGACAAAAGUAUGUAGCAUAAUAUUAUAUUAAUUAUCGCUAGGGGUGAUAGGCCUAUCAAAGUGAAUGAUAACUUGUUUCUCUUGAGAUAUAUUAAGUAUUGAAGACAAACUUGAAGUUAUAAGGCUUUAAGUAGUAAUUAGAGAACAUUUAAAUGGAAGUAUCAAGUUUAAUAACAAAUAUUAUUUGACUAUAGUAUUAAAUUGUUUGAGGGUAUUGAUUAAUAAAGAGAUAUAAAUAAAUUAAAAUGUUUAUUAAUUCUGUUGAUAUAAGUAUAAUAUAUAGUUAUUUUUAAUGAACUCGGCAAUUAUAGCUCUCAACUGUUUACCAAAAACAUAGUCAGCUGAAUUAUAUAGUUGGUGAUUUCUGCUCGGUGAUUAGUUAAACAGCCGCAGUACCCUGACUGUGCUAAGGUAGCGCAAUCAAUUGGCUUUUAAUUGAAGUCCUGUAUGAAGAAGAUAUGGGAGAUGACUGUAUCAUUUGUAGUUUAGAAGUUACUAAGUAGGUGCAAAAACCUAUAAUUAAAUAACAGACGAGAAGACCCUAGAAAUUUUAAGAACUUGCCUUUAUGAGCUUUUUGUUGGGGCAACACAGUAUAGAACCUACAAGGUUGACAUGAAAUGUUAUAGAACGUAUAAAUUACUCUAGGGAUAACAGCAUAAUUUGUAAGAGUUUGUGACCUCGAUGUUGGACUAGGAAAUUAGCGUUUAGAA
rnacentral:rRNA from 1 species